CCUACGGGGGGCUGCAGUGGGGAAUAUUGGACAAUGGGGGCAACCCUGAUCCAGCCAUGCCGCGUGUGUGAAGAAGGCCCUCGGGUUGUAAAGCACUUUCAGUGAGGAAGAACGCCUGGUGGUUAAUACCUAUCAGGAAAGACAUCACUCACAGAAGAAGCACCGGCUAACUCCGUGCCAGCAGCCGCGGUAAUACGGAGGGUGCGAGCGUUAAUCGGAAUUACUGGGCGUAAAGCGCGCGUAGGUGGCUUGAUAAGCCGGUUGUGAAAGCCCCGGGCUCAACCUGGGAACGGCAUCCGGAACUGUCAAGCUAGAGUGCAGGAGAGGAAGGUAGAAUUCCCGGUGUAGCGGUGAAAUGCGUAGAGAUCGGGAGGAAUACCAGUGGCGAAGGCGGCCUUCUGGACUGACACUGACACUGAGGUGCGAAAGCGUGGGUAGCAAACAGGAUUAGAUACCCCGGUAGUC
rnacentral:rRNA from 1 species